GGUCAGGCUGAAGACCUUUACCCGAUUAGCUGAGAGGUGGUGCAUGGCCGUCGUCAGUUCGUACUGUGAAGCAUCCUGUUAAGUCAGGCAACGAGCGAGACCCACGUCCACAGUUGCCAGCAUACCCUCCGGGGUGAUGGGUACACUGUGGAGACCGCCGCUGCUAAAGCGGAGGAAGGAGUGGGCAACGGUAGGUCAGUAUGCCCCGAAUCUCCCGGGCUACACGCGGGCUACAAUGGUUGGUACAAUGGGCAUCUACCCCGAAAGGGGAAGGAAAUCUCUUAAAGCCAAUCGUAGUUCGGAUUGAGGGCUGCAACUCGCCCUCAUGAGGCUGGAAUCCGUAGUAAUCGCGUUUCAACAGAACGCGGUGAAUACGUCCCUGCUCCUU
rnacentral:rRNA from 1 species